rnacentral:hammerhead_ribozyme from 1 species
AUCUAGCUGACGAGUCGGAAAUAAAAUGAAAUGCGUGUCAAACUGGAU